rnacentral:rRNA from 1 species
GACGAACGCUGGCGGCGUGCUUAACACAUGCAAGUCGUACGGUAAGGCCCUUUCGGGGGUACACGAGUGGCGAACGGGGGAGUAACACGUGAGUAACCUGCCCACAACUUUGGGACAACGCUAGGAAACUGGUGCUAAUACUGGAUAUGUGCUCCUGCUGCAUGGUGGGGGUUGGAAAGCUCCGGCGGUUGUGGAUGGACUCGCGGCCUAUCAGCUUGUUGGUGGGGUAGUGGCCUACCAAGGCGGCGACGGGUAGCCGGCCUGAGGGGGUGACCGGCCACAUUGGGACUGAGAUACGGCCCAGACUCCUACGGGAGGCAGCAGUGGGGAAGAUUGCACGAUGGGCGCAAGCCUGAUGCAGCAACGCCGCGGGCGGGAUGACGGCCUUCGGGUUGUAAACCGCUUUCAGCAGGGACGAAGCUUUUUGUGACGGUACCUGCAGAAGAAGCACCGGCUAACUACGUG